UACGGAGGGUGCAAGCGUUAUCCGGAUUUACUGGGUUUAAAGGGUGCGUAGGUGGGUAGGUAAGUCAGUGGUGAAAUCUUCGAGCUUAACUCGGAAACUGCCAUUGAUACUAUUUAUCUUGAAUACUCUGGAGGUAAGCGGAAUAUGUCAUGUAGCGGUGAAAUGCUUAGAUAUGACAUAGAACACCAAUUGCGAAGGCAGCUUGCUACACUGUUAUUGACACUGAGGCACGAAAGCGUGGGGAUCAAACAGG
rnacentral:rRNA from 1 species